rnacentral:pre_miRNA from 1 species
UUAACUCAAUUUUGUAUGGAGUUGUAGCGUUUCCCUACAUUUGCCGCUAGGGGCGCUGUUCCAACUGCAUGCAUAUUUGAGUUA